AUUGAACGCUGGCGGCAGGCUUAACACAUGCAAGUCGAGCGGGGUGAUGGUGCUUGCACUAUCACUUAGCGGCGGACGGGUGAGUAAUGCUUAGGAAUCUGCCUAUUAGUGGGGGACAACAUCUCGAAAGGGAUGCUAAUACCACAUACGUCCUACGGGAGAAAGAAGGGGAUCACUUGUGACCUUGCGCUAAUAGAUGAGCCUAAGUCGGAUUAGCUAGUUGGUGGGGUAAAGGCCUACCAAGGCGACGAUCUGUAGCGGGUCUGAGAGGAUGAUCCGCCACACUGGGACUGAGACACGGCCCAGACUCCUACGGGAGGCAGCAGUGGGGAAUAUUGGACAAUGGGGGGAACCCUGAUCCAGCCAUGCCGCGUGUGUGAAGUAGGCCUUAUGGUUGUAAAGCACUUUAAGCGAGGAGGAGGCUCUUUUGGUUAAUACCCAAGAUGAGUGGACGUUACUCGCAGAAUAAGCACCGGCUAACUCUGUGCCAGCCGCCGCGGUAA
rnacentral:rRNA from 1 species